rnacentral:rRNA from 1 species
GACGAACGCUGGCGGCGUGCUUAACACAUGCAAGUCGAACGGAAAGGCCCGGCUUUUGUGGGGUGCUCGAGGGGCGAACGGGUGAGUAACACGUGAGUAACCUGUCCUUGACUGUGGGAUAACCUCAGGCAACUGGGGCUAAUACCGGCUAGGAGCUCCUGCUUCUUGGUGGGGGUGGGAAAGUUUCGGCGGUUGGGGAUGGACUCGCGGCUUAUCAGCUUGAUGGUGGGGUAGUGGAUUAGCAAGGCUUUCAAGGGUGGCCGGGCUAGGAGGGUAACAUGCUCAGCUGGACCUGGGCUACGGCCCAGACUCCAAUGGGAGGCAGCGGAGGGGAAUAGUGCACAAUGGGCGGAAGCAUGAUGCAGCAAAGCCGCGUGGGGUAUGACAGGCUUCGGGUUGUAAACCGCUUUCGCCUGUGACGAGGCGUGAGUGACGGUACUGGGUAAAGAAGCACCGGCUAACUACGUG